GGGGAUGCCAGGCAUCGACAAUUGUUUACUUCUCUCUUGUGCAUGUCGAGCACAUACGUAUAGCUCGUAAAUCAUCGUAUAUUUUCUAAAUGGAAAAACAUUUAGUUCAGUAAAGUCUCCUUACGCAAGUAAGUUUGGUUUUGCUCCAGCGUUCGCUUAAUAGCGUCGCCGGUGUCUCUCGUCACGACAUCCGAUAGUGAUUGAGGGGCAACAUGUUAUCGGGUUACGAAAUGUGAGUGUUCGCCACAUUUUCGACAAUCAUAGAACUCGAUUCAUAUUUAUCUUGCGUGUUUCCAAGAAUAUGAAUUUAAAUCAUUGAAACACGACACACAUGUAGAAACAUUUGAGAAACACUCUUGCACGGGGGUUCAAAUCCCCCCAUCUCCACCA
rnacentral:tmRNA from 1 species